UACGAAGGUGGCAAGCGUUGUUCGGAUUUACUGGGCGUACAGGGAGCGUAGGCGGUUGGGUAAGCCCUCCGUGAAAUCUUCGGGCCUAACCCGGAAAGUGCGGAGGGGACUGCUCGGCUAGAGGAUGGGAGAGGAGCGCGGAAUUCCCCGGUGUAGCGGUGAAAAUGCGUAGAGAUCGGGAGGAAGGCCGGUGGCGAAGGCGGCGCUCUGGAACAUUUCUGACGCUGAGGCUCGAAAGCGUGGGGAGCAAACAGG
rnacentral:rRNA from 1 species